GCCAGUCACAGAAAGAGAAAUACUAGGUAUUCCAUGGCUUGUCCCCGCCUUAAGUGACAGCAUGGUGAAGGGGACGGAGCAAGGGGCUUUGGCAUCAAGGCUGCAGUGAGUGAUUUUCAAACUCGAUUCCAUGUUAGAAUUACUUGGGAGGCCUAUCAAAACCCCAAACCAG